UUAAUAAAUAAGUUGAUUCGAGAUUGAUCCUGUCUUAAUUUAUAAUUUAUUUAUUAUUAAUUUGUUUAUAAAUAAUAUUAAAUACAAGUUUUUGCGUGUUGUUUUAUUGUCUUAAUGAUUUAUUUUGUUUAUUUGUAGUUUUUUAUUUUGAAUAUCAAAUAUUUUUGGGUUCAGUUAAUUUAUUU
rnacentral:rRNA from 1 species